AGUCCACAUUAGCAACUUCAGCUCCCAUUACUCUGCGAAGGCCGAGCUGGUGUUUGAAUCACCAGCAAGUUUCAGCUUUUCACAGCAUAAAGCCGAGCUCCCCUAAGCCCUGCUGUGACUACACUGCUUUCUGCACCGGGGAGGAAAUGAUCUUUUAAAAGGUUUAAUAAGCAGAAGGGAAAACAGUCUCCUCUGGCCUUUCCAGGGGACCAGGGGCAUGUCCCCAAACGCCUGCCGUCUCUCGACCUUCCAAGACUUGCUGAUUGUGCCAGAGAAGGAAAUACACCUAUAAUUGCUCAUCCGGAGAGACCCAUAAACACGAUUUGACAACUUCUGCAAUGGAUUGAAAGUGGGUGUAUAUUUCUGAAUGAAGACGCUUGGGGUUAGGCCCUGAGGACCCAACCCAUGCUGGGCAAGCUCUCUACCACGGAGCUGAAUGCCAGCCCUAGCGUCUUUGCUGCCUGACUAUCAAUGGCGACAGCACCACCACAACACAAGAGGCUCCGGGACAGCAUUUGCAUGAUCAGUUUAAUUUUCAUGUAAGCUGUGCUUCUCAGAAUGCAGACUACGAUCAAAGUCAUUGCUGGCUGAUCUCUCCUGCUCAGGGCGCAGUACCCUGUUCCCCACCAAAGGGGCGGGGGCAUCAAGCAUAUGCUCAGUGCUGGUUAAACAGACUCCUCCACGGCCCUGUACAGAGCUUAGAGUGCGUAUUCACUACCUUUUAACUUUCCAGGCAAAAGUAGUUUAAAAAUAGUAUCAAAUGUUCCCAAAUUACAAAGAAAAUAUUUUAUUUGUUUGAGAGAAGCAAAAGACUUGACAUCUUUAAAAUUCCUCCAGGAAUUUAUAUUUUUGGAAAACCAUUGACUUCUAUAUUUUUUAUAAUAUAUACAUUUAUGCAGCUCCUGAAUUGUGCUAAGACUGAAUAUCUGUGAUGCAGGUACACAUUUUAGGGUUCUCACUAUUCACUGGCUUUAAAGGCAACAUGAUUUUUGGAGACACACAUACUACAAGAAAAGCACUUUUGAAGUUUAUUCUGUUUAGAUAUAAUUAAUACAUGAAUUUUAAAAUGUAAAGAAAAAAAGAGUGAAAUAUCUACUGCACACAUCAAAUUUAGGGUUAACGUAAUUUUUGUAGCAAAGCUAUUUUGUGGGUUUGGCUUCCAAAGCUAUAUUUCAAAUUCUGUUUCUUUUCCCAGCUCCAAAGCCUGACUUUUGACUCAGUUACAGAUGAGUCCCAGGGAAGCAAGGCUCGGUAGUGUGCCCAAGAGUGAAAGUUUACCAUCCACGGAAAGCUACUUAGCACCAUUAGUAACCUUGAACACGGGAUGGAACGUGAGAAGUGCCUGCUUUUACGGCUCAUUAGUAAAAGAACAUUCAAAACUGAAAGUGCAGUGGUGAUUUUGAAUAGUAAUGAAUUUGAUUAAAAUGUAGAGUACUUGGGGGGUUGAGAUUUUUUUCUGCUAAGUUUCAAAAAAAAA